CAAAGUCAGGAUUUCCAGGAAGGCCUAGCUCAGCUCACCUCUGGAAAGGUCUCCAAGCUGUGUGAUCUGGGGAAUCGUGGAGGGGUUUUGAGCUCAGGUGUCUUCUGCCAGCUGGACUCUGAGACCCUGGCCUGCUGGGGCGAGGAUGAGGCUCUGAUGUGGUCUGGUCAACUCUGGGUUGGCCAUCUGCACCACAGGGCUCUAACAAGGGCCUGCUAUAGGCCAUGAGAACCACUGUAAGUGUCCUUGUUCGGCAAAUACUUACUCAUCCCCUGCUGUAUGCCCGGCAAUGUUCCAGGCACAGGAAUUCAUCGGAGAGCUAGAGAGGACAAGAUGUUGUCAUGGAGCUGCAGCAACUGAACGAAAAACCAUGAGAGCCCACGGAGGGCUUUGGAAGGGAUGAGGGAUGGCCUUUUCGAAGAGAGGCACUGGAGUUGAAACCUGAAUGGGACAAGAUCAGGUGGAAGAGGCUUCCAGACAGAGGGGGCAGCUCUGUCAAAAGGUCCCAAAGAAGGAGAAAUCUCAAUGUGUUUAAGAAACAGGUGGGGCUUCUGCCUCACACUCAUUCUAAAACCUUCAACCCCACAGCUUCUGCUUUAGGCAAUGGGGACACCUGGGAAACACAAUAUCCAGAAGACCAGCCCAUCUAUAAAAUUGCCAUGGAAAGGAAGUAAAUGAGGAACAGCCAAAAAUUCUUGGAAGUAGAAAGCACAGCAGCCACAGGGAACUAACAGGGCAACUAAGAUAAUGAAACCAAGACCGGGCAGAAGGAAGACACCAGAGAGCUCAGCCCAGCUGGGUUGCAACUCUCCAGGCACUUCCUACACAACCCACCCAGGGCUCCACAUCCCCUUCCAGCUCUAUUUGAAUUUGCACCGAUAGGCAUCCCACGUGUUAGCUGACUGCCUCUUCUCCUUCGUGGCAAGACGUUCAGCUCCACAAGGCAGGAGUCAGUGUCUGCCUCUUUCACUGCUGCAAGGUAGCCCCUGUGCCUAGAAGAGCACCGCGCAGGGUGGCUUCUUACUAAAUAUCCGGUAGAUGAAUGUUCACCUUCAUUCUGUGAUGGAAAAACAUCAACAGAAUUUUUUGAGAAGUAGGUUUUGAAUAUAAGCUUCUCUGUUAGUCAAAUUGAUAUUCAACGAUCCUGACAAUUAAAUGCAUUUGCAGACAAGCAAAGACUCAGAGAGACAACACUUGUGCUUGUGUGCUGAAAGAAAAAGUAUUUACCUUGAUAUCAUGCUAACGUAUUUAUAUAAUAAACAAAAUAUAAAUUAAUAAGGAAUAAGCACGUAUUUCGAAUAGAUUAACAAUCUCCGGAAGAUCUUGAACGGGUCCUCAGAAUCUCAUCUUCCAAAACCACGCAAUGGAGAAUAUUUGACAAAGUUUACAAAAUAGUUUAUUCCUCAAUUUUAUUUAUAAUGCAGUACAAAAAGAUAUUGAAACCCU
rnacentral:lncRNA from 1 species